ensembl:lncRNA
GGAGCUCCACGGUAACCGGAAACACGUGACCUCCACAGUAACCGGAAAUACGUGACCUCCACAGUAACCGGAAACACGUGACCUCCACAGUAGGCAGAAAUACGUUCCUGCGUGGAUCAUCGACUGCGGAAAUCUUGCAAGUGGAUCGUAAAGAUGCUCAUAUCAAUUUGGAGUUCUGCCUCCAAGCCAGAAUUGCAGUAAUGCACCACGUGUUGGCUGUUUCACUGCCCUCUGUGCCCCACUUUCAGCCCUAUUGUCAGGAGCAUAUAAAUGGACACAUUAAAAAUGCUUUGCCUUUCAAAGACAAAAUGAUAUACGGUGCACUUUCACUGCCCUGUCUGUAACAUGACAGUCAUACAGCGUGGGGAUAUGGCAAGGCAAUUUUUCUCAUGUCAGCAUUCAGGACUGCUCCCCACUGAACUCUCCGAGGAGCCCCAUCUCCCUCUCGAUGUCUUGUCUCCAGUAUCUAAACCAUUUUCUGAAUCUUCGGUAGAACAUUCAUGUGCUCUACCCUCUGUGCUAAAUGAAACUGUGGCUUGUGGAAAGUCCUUGAAAAUGAAACGCCCUCACUGUGGUCUUAGUCUUCUUGAAAAAAAACUUCAAGGCUCACAUGAUGAGGAGGCAUUCAAACAGAUCAAUAAAUGUUUGCCUGGCCUGUCAUCUGCAGUGUUUUUGUGUAGAGGGACUUCUUCCUCUUUGUUUUUCAGUUUGCAGAGGACAUGGAGCUCUUUUUAAAAGCUUGUGCUGAUGAGCAGGGACUACGGGUCAAUGCGAUGUUUGACAUUUAAUGGACAGAUGAAGGCACUGGCUGUUUGUUUGUGUUUUUUAUGUGUUGUUUGUUUUUCAGUGUACAGAAUUCCAGUUAAACGUGUUAUUAAAUAUCCACUUGUUUCCAUGUCCAUACUUAUAGUAAAAAAAAUUAAGUGUAAAUGCAACAGCAUUGUUUAUACUUGUAACUUCAGAGUAAAAAGCUUAUUGUUGAUACG